CACGUAGGGGACGAGCGUUGUCCGGAUUCAUUGGGCGUAAAGGGUGCGUAGGCGGCGCGGUAAGUCGGGUGUGAAAUCUCGGAGCUUAACUCCGAAACUGCAUUCGAUACUGCCGUGCUUGAGGACUGGAGAGGAGACUGGAAUUCAUGGUGUAGCAGUGAAAUGCGUAGAGAUCAUGAGGAAGACCAGUGGCGAAGGCGGGUCUCUGGACAGUUCCUGACACUGAGACACGAAGGCCAGGGGAGCAAACGGG
rnacentral:rRNA from 1 species